rnacentral:tRNA from 1 species
UUUUAACUAAGCGGUAGAGUCAGGCCUUUAAAUUAAAGGCCCCCAGAAAGAGGCUUAAGUCAUCGGUUCAAAUCCGAUAGAUAAAG